GGUCCCGCCCCUGGCCCCGCUGGACCUGCGUAGACGCCGGCCUGGCGAGGCAGGAGCAGAAUUGUGGGAGGCUGGCGCCACUGCGGAGUGAGCCUUCUCUGCGCUCUAACCUGAGCUCAGAGGACUAAGGAGCAAGGAGAGCAAUUUGCUGCUUUCUGGGUCCUCCAAGAAGCGGCCAGAGGAAGAAACAGUGCCAGUGUUACAGAUACAACACAAAUGUUCCAGUUAGAAGAAGGAAUUCAAACGGAAUGCCAAGGUCCAAGCCAGGCUCAGGUUAGAAAGAAGAGAAAAUCGACAAAACAAAAGCAGCCACUCAGUGAGAAUGAAGAACGGCUACAAGCUCAGUAAACGCAGCACAAGCAACAAGUGUCCUUCAAGGACUACAAGGACAAGUCACUCAGGUGCCAGAGUGACUGCUUGGAUCCUUCU